rnacentral:rRNA from 1 species
GAUGAACGCUGGCGGCGUGCCUAAUACAUGCAAGUCGAGCGAAAAGACGCGGAGCUUGCUCCUCUGACGUUAGCAACGGACGGGUGAGUAACACGUGGACAACCCACCUAUAAGACUGGGAUAACUGCGAGAAAGCGGAGCUAAUACCGGAUAAUAUAUUGAACGGGAUGGUUGAAUAGUGUAAGACGGGUUUGCUGACACUUCUAGCUGGAACCGGGUCGCAUUAGCUAGUUGGUAAGGUAACGGCUUACCAAGGCAACAAUGGGUAGCCGACCUGGGAGGGUGAUCGGCCACACUGGGGCUGGGACGCGGUCCAGACUCCUACGGAAGGCAGAAGUAGGGAAGCGUCGGCAAUGGGCGGAAGCCUGCCGGAGCAGCGCCGGGUGAGUGAUGAAGGUCUUCGGAGCGUAAAACUCUGUUAGUGGUGAAGAACACAUGUGUAAGGAACUAAGCACGUCUUGACGGUACCUAGUCAGAAAGCCACGGCUAACUACGUG